UAUGUGAUCGUCUCUCGCAUAUCAAUAAGCGGAGGAAAAGAAACUAACAAGGAUUCCCCUAGUAACGGCGAGUGAAGCGGGAAGAGCUCAAAUUUGAAAUCUUAAAGGGUUUCCCUUUACGAAUUGUAGUUUAAAGAAGUGUUUUCUGUUGAGGUUUUGGUAAAAGUUCUUUGGAAUAGGACAUCAUAGAGGGUGAGAAUCCCGUAUUUGACCUUUACUUUCAACUUUGUGAUACACUUUCAAAGAGUCGGAUUGUUUGGGAAUGCAGUCCAAAAUGGGUGGUAAAUUUCAUCUAAAGCUAAAUAUUGGCGAGAGACCGAUAGCGAACAAGUACCGUGAGGGAAGGAUGAAAAGAACUUUGAAAAGAGAGUUAAACAGUACGUGAAAUUGUCAAAAGGGAAGCGUUUGACACCAGUGUUGUUUUUCUGAAAAUCAAUUAAAGAACUGUUUAUGCUAAGUUGUUUAGACUUUAUCAGCUAUCUGUUUAGUUUUGAGCUUUUCUUUAAUGCACUUUUCAGUUAACAAGUCAACAUCAAUUUCUUUUGCUGUAAAAAAGCUUGAGGAAGGUGGCUUGAGAUUCGUCUUAAGUGUUUAUAGCCUCUUGCCUAUGCAAGUCGGAGAGAUUGAGGUCUGCAGCGUAGAUCCUUCGGGGCUAAAUGCAUUUGUGCUAAGUUAUAGCAUUUUAUAGACAACUUGUUGACUAUGAUUUGUCUUGUAGCUUACUCGCUUAUGUUAUUUUACCUACGCUUAGGAUGUUGAUAUGCAUGACUGAUAU
rnacentral:rRNA from 1 species